rnacentral:lncRNA from 1 species
CAGCACUCUGGCUCUUGUACCAAGCCGACCUCAUGGGGAAGGAGGGGAAGAAGAAGGGCCAAUGGCCCGGAGCGCCAUCCUGAGAAACCAUCCAAUCCAGUCCCCUGGCUUUAUGUGAGGAAACUGAGGCCCAGGGAGGAGAAGGGACUGAUCUAAGGUCACACAGUGACUCGAAGACAGAGCGGAGCCCGGGUGCCAGACCUCCUGGGUUCUCAUUGCUGGCCCAGAGCCCUGCUACCAUCCCUUCCUGUUGGCAGACGAAUGGCAGCCUUGUGAGGCUGACCUCAUACCCCUGGAACAAGGGCCUCUGGACAUCUUGGCCCGGGUUCCCGGGAGCCUCUCAUCCCUUCUUCCCUUUCGAGGCUGCUCCCGGAGCCCAGGAAUGUCUGGCGCUUCCUUUGGUGUCUCCCCUCCAAAUAAGGGGCCCCUUCCUGGACCCAUCAGAACUAGGGCCCGGAAGCCGGGACUGCUGGGCAUCGCCAGCCUCCUCUGGUCCGGCUCCCAGGAAUCCCCAGGGCUGGGGCCCCUCCCUAGAAGGCUGUGAUCACAAGACUCAGGAGAAGCCCAAAGGAGCGGCUCCAGGAUGGAGUUUCCUGAUGAAUGUGGUGUUUGUCACUUCCUGCUCUCUGGACAGCUGCUGUGGCUCCCCGUGGCUGUGGGAGAGCUGAGUGCCUGGUUCUUUGAGAUCCCUGGGCCAAGCUCCUUCCAGGGGGGCCUGAGCCGGGGUUCCCCAAAGGGCUGUGCCGCCAUAUUGGCCUCCAGACUCUUGUUGGGGGCCAGAGACACGGAGGGGACGCGGCCCUGGACUGCAGGCCCCCCGACCAGAGGAGAAGACAAGGACCCCAACACCCACCGGACCUCCAAAGGACCUGGAUCAGAACUGCAGCCCAGCACCAUCCGGCCAGCUGCGACCGUGAGCUCCUCAGGCGAGCCUGUAAGGCGGCAACCAACAACAAAUAUGAUCCAUUCCCUUCGGCCUGACAAGCCCCAGCUAUGGGCCAGGCACUGUCCUAGGCAUUGGGGGACUCAAAGAUACCUACUGAAGUGCCUCUCCUCCAUCAGGAGAAACCGCAUGUCCACAGGGAAGGAAAGAGCCAGUGCAGGCAGAGCGGGGCGUCCCGAUGGACCGGGAGCAGCCGACCCUCUGACCCAAGGCCUCGGUGCUCCUUCCUGCCUGGCAGCUACUGUGCAGGGGAUGGGGGAGGCCCGAGCCCCCUCUGCUCUCUUCCAGCUCCCUCCUCUCCUAAAUACAAAAUGACUCGGGGAAGGACUCCCUAGGCCUUGGGGACAAUCAAGAGAGACUUCACGGAGGAAGAAGCUUUGGAGCGGAGCCUUGAAAGAAAUAGAGGACAGCAAAAGGCCAAGGGGGAGGGGGAGAGAGAAGGAGAGAAGACAGGUAGCCAGUCAGGAGCUCUGGGCUGUAGAGCCUCAGGCACCAGAGUCCAACCUUCUCCUUUUAUAGACCAGGAACUGGAGGUCCCAGAAUGCAUGCAGUAAAGAAUCUAAACUCGAACUCAGGCCCCACGACUUCUCCCACUGUGACACGCUGCCUUCCCAUGGUGAGAAAGACCUUCCACGGCUGGUGGACCCCCAGGGGAGGGGCAGGGCUGGCUCCCUUCCUCGGUGGAGAUGCAGACCCAGCAGGACUCCUGUGAGGACGUCUUUGGGUCCCCAACAUCAGCUGGUCUCACUCCUCCUACCAACCCGGAAAGGUUUCCUCGGGGACCCUGAGAGGCAAGGGGGGUCUGCCGGCUAUGGGCAGCCUGGCUGGACACUGCCUGAGUCUACACCGGCUAGAGAGGGACGACAUCUGGCCCUGGCCACCUCCUCUCCCGAAAGGGCAGCCCCAAACCACCGAAGCCCUCAAACUCAGCCGGAGCUCCCAUCCUUGGGUCUCCUCCCUCCGGGUUCAGGGGGAGCCCGCGGGGGGCCGUGGACCCGGCUUCUCACUGCACGUCCUGCCUGGCACCGGUUUUCAGGGUGGUUUUUUCAAGCAUCCGUCGCUCCUGGGAACUCUUCCCCCGAGGAGGGACGACGACGAAUGGUCUCACACAACAAGCCGGCAGCUCCCUGGGACGCUGGACAGGCCGCGCAUUCAGCCUCCUGCACCCGCUGCCCCCCACCUCUCCGGGGCCAGGAGGGAACAUAUGAGUCAGGGGGGACGUGGGUCCGCCAAUGGAUCGCCAGAGCCAUUUGUUCCCUUGGGCAGCGGCCAUCGGGAAGACGCUUCUCGGGCUCUGACUCAGCCCAUGUGGCUGGUCCCCGGCUUCUCCGAAUUCCUGGCAGUCAUCACCUCUUCUUACAUGAAAAGAGCCCAUUACCAGUAGCCCCAGAGACGCUCUCCGGCUCUGCAUGGGCACCCACUUCAUCCCAUUUCUCCUUUGACUCCCCAUGCCUGCGGCGUGGUCUGCUCCUAGGCAGGGAUCGGUGUGCUGGGGUACAGGGGGCCGAGGCUCCGGCCAGGAGCCCCCAGAGGCCCAGCAGAGCAGACCCCACCAAGUUCUGAAGGGGGAACUUAGAGAGGAAAAGAGAUAAGGUCAGAGACAGAGGGGAGAAAGAAACAAGAGACAGAGAGUUUGGGAGAGACAGAGGGGCAGAGAGAGACAGAGAGAGAGAAAGAGGCAGAGAGAGACACAGAGACACAGAGACAGAGACAGAGACAGAGACAGAGACAGAGACAGAGACAGAGACAGAGACAGAGACAGAGGGGAGAAAGAAACAAGAGACAGAGAGUUUGGGAGAGACAGAGGGGCAGAGAGAGACAGAGAGAGAGAAAGAGGCAGAGAGAGACAGAGAGACAGAGAGACACAGAGACACAGAGACAGAGAGACAGAGACAAAGACAGAGACAGAGACAGAGACAGAGACAGAGGGGAGAAAGAAACAAGAGACAGAGAGAUGGGGAGAGACAGAGGGGCAGAGAGAGACAGAGAGAGACAGAGACAAAGAGUGAAAGAGAGGGAGGGAGACAGAGAGAGACAGACAGAGAGAGACAGAGAGAGAAGGGGAGGGAUCCCUCCCCCAUAAUAAACACAACAUAUGGACCCCA